ACUACGGGUGGCAGCAGUGAGGAAUAUUGGUCAAUGGGCGGAAGCCUGAACCAGCCAAGUAGCGUGCAGGAUGACGGCCCUACGGGUUGUAAACUGCUUUUAUACGGGAAUAACGCGCCUUACGUGUAGGGCUUUGCAUGUACCGUAUGAAUAAGGACCGGCUAAUUCCGUGCCAGCAGCCGCGGUAAUACGGAAGGUACGGUCGUUAUCCGGAUUUAUUGGGUUUAAAGGGAGCGUAGGCCGCAUGUCAAGCGUGCUGUGAAAUGUCCGGGCUCAACCCGGGCCUUGAAGCGCGCAAUGGCGUGCUUGAGUCCGCGGAAAGCAGGCGGAAUUCGUCGUGUAGCGGUGAAAUGCUUAGAUAUGACGAAGAACCCCGAUUGCGAAGGCAGCUUGCUGCAGCGGAACUGACGCUGAUGCUCGAAAGCGCGGGUAUCGAACAGGAUUAGAUACCCGAGUAGUC
rnacentral:rRNA from 1 species